rnacentral:rRNA from 1 species
UACAGAGGGUGCGAGCGUUAAUCGGAAUUACUGGGCGUAAAGCGCGCGUAGGCGGCUUUGCAAGUCGGGUGUGAAAUCCCCAGGCUUAACCUGGGAACUGCAUUCGAGACUGCAUUGCUAGAGUAUGGGAGAGGGAAGUGGAAUUUCCGGUGUAAGCGGUGAAAUGCGUAGAUAUCGGAAGGAACAUCAGUGGCGAAAGCGACUUCCUGGACCAAUACUGACGCUCAUGAUGCGGAAAGCGUGGGGGAGCAAACAAGG